AAUCGCCAGAGUACUACGAGUGCAAACUUAAAACUCAAAGGACUUGACGGUGUCCCAUUCUAUCUAGAGGAGCCUGUCCUAUAAUCGAUGAUCCACGUUAUACCUCACCACUUUUAGCUAUACCAGCCUGUAUACUUCCGUCGUAAGCUCACCAUGUGAAUGUUUAAGUGUGUCCAAAGAUCAACAUAAAACAUCAAAACGUCAGGUCAAAGUGCAGCCAAUAAAGUGGAAAGUGAUGGGCUACAGUUUCUAAAAUUAGAACACACGAAAAAUCGCCUGAAACUACGAUCAAGAAGGUGGAUUUAGAAGUAAAAUGAAAAAGAAAGCUCAUUUUAAUAUAGCCCUGGGACGUGUAC
rnacentral:rRNA from 1 species